rnacentral:rRNA from 1 species
UACGGAGGGAGCUAGCGUUAUUCGGAAUUACUGGGCGUAAAGCGUACGUAGGCGGCUUUGUAAGUAAGAGGUGAAAGCCCGGAGCUCAACUCCGGAACUGCCUUUUAGACUGCAUCGCUUGAAUCCAGGAGAGGUGAGUGGAAUUCCGAGUGUAGAGGUGAAAUUCGUAGAGAUCGGGAAGAACAUCAGUGGCGAAGGCGGUCUGCUGGGCCGUUGCUGACGCUGAGGCGCGACAGCGUGGGGAGCAAACAGG